CCGCAUAAGCGGCGGAGCAUGCGGAUUAAUUCGAUGCAACGCGAAGAACCUUACCAAGGCUUGACAUACACCGGUAACGCCCAGAGAUGGGUGCCCCUUUGUGGUCGGUGUACAGGUGGUGCAUGGUUGUCGUCAGCUCGUGUCGUGAGAUGUUGGGUUAAGUCCCGCAACGAGCGCAACCCUCGUCCUAUGUUGCCAGCGGGUCAUGCCGGGGACUCAUGGGAGACUGCCGGGGUCAACUCGGAGGAAGGUGGGGAUGACGUCAAAUCAUCAUGCCCCUUAUGUCUUGGGCUUCACGCAUGCUACAAUGGCCGGUACAAAGGGCUGCGAUACCGCGAGGUGGAGCGAAUCCCAGAAAGCCGGUCUCAGUUCGGAUUGGGGUCUGCAACUCGACCCCAUGAAGUCGGAGUCGCUAGUAAUCGCAGAUCAGCAACGCUGCGGUGAAUACGUUCCCGGGCCUU
rnacentral:rRNA from 1 species